rnacentral:piRNA from 1 species
UCCCACUGAGCAGCACUGGGUCCUUCUGUGU